ACAGGAGCCAGAGAAGUCAUGCAGUUCGUUUCUGGCAGACCUGACGACAGCUUUCGACACACACAGUGGGCUUGUCAGACCUGACCCAAUGGGCAGACCUGUGGAGCCCUGUGAAGUCUGGCUGAAAGAACAUCACCUGAGCAGAAUGAAGCCUGAAUUGGCACAGAUAGUGAAGAAAUCCUGUGUAACUUGGAAAACUUGCCCACACGCAGAUAUCCUGCAGCUUUCUGAACACGCUGAGGAUGAGUUGUUCGGCAGAGAUGAGCAAAGGAAACAGCGCAGCUCCUGGUUCUUUCUCCUCUCCAGACUCCGGACCACAGGUGAAGGUUGCAGCAGGGUUAACAGUGAACCCGAGAGCUGGUUCCGAGAUGGGCUGACUGUGCGGUGCCAACGAGCUGCGUGUGCGUUUGGCUGGCAAAGGAUCCUCCAGUUUGGGGACAUCUGUGACCAGCACUUCAGAAGAUGAAUCAGCUGGACGUUUUCUGGUUGGAAGGUAUUUGUCUUUGGGAGACAAAGGAAAAAAGGAAAAAACUUAAAUUUAGUACAGAUUAGAGAAGGUAAAUAAUUUUGUGUCCUUGAUAAAUGUGCGCGUGUUGUGUGUGAAUAGAAACAGAAACACACAGGCAGGCACGCACACAAUUAAGUAUUGAUAAAUUAAAGUUAAAUUUACUUGGCCGGUGGGACUGUGGAGUACAGACUGGUAGGGACAAAACACUGCUUUCCUCAUCUUUCCUGAUUCUUGUCACCAUGUGAAAAGCUACAAGAAACAAUCAGCACAGUUGACACUAGUUACUGUUUAGUCACUUACACCAGCAGGUGUGACACAGCUGUGAAUGAAACCUACUGCUACCUUCACUGAAUGGAGCCGUCCGCACGCGUUCAAACAGCUCAGGUCCAAGCAGCACACGCUUUGUGAGAGAAAACAGUCAGAGGAGAGAAUAUUUAUUUCCACUUUGUGCAUUCAAUUAUAUUAUUUAUUGUGAAAUCAGUAAAAGAGACAACUAUACAUCUGUGUUUAUAAAAAUCCAACAAAUCCCUUUUGAUAAAGCUUCUAGUUAGAGCUGGUUCAGGUCUGUCCUGGUCUUGCUCUUAGUUAUGCCGCUAGAGGCCUAGAUUGUCAAGGACACAUGGAGCAUCUUCUUCCUCACAUUAAUGUAUUUUUCUGACUUGACUUCUUCCCUGGAUUCCUUGUGCUUCAUCAUUGCAGAUGUAGGAUCAUGGCUUUGGUUUUGGAUUAUGAUUACAACUAGAAUGCUUAGAUAUCUAAUAUGCCUACUGACAUAUAAAACCAUUACUGGCAAUACCUCUAUCAUUACAUGGUAACGGUAAAUUAUUUAUAUCAAUAUACCGCUUUUCUUCUCUUGAUGACCACUCAAAGCACUUUACAGUAAAGUUUGGCCUUUACAUUACAACUGUCAUUGGUGCUCCCUUCAUCUGUAAGGCAUUUUCUUUUGUAUAAAUAGUAGAACAUUAAUACACAUCUCCAUUUAUCACUGUCAUUUCUCAUGAAUGUUAUAUUGUUACUUUGUUUGGGCAUAAGUUUUCUCUGUUAAAAGCAUUUCUGUUGUUUUUCCUCACUUUAAGGGCAGAGGAUGUCACACCUAUGAGACAAAUUGGGAUUUAGGAAUAUGACCUAUACAAAUAAAAUAUGGAUGAUCUAUUUGAAAUGAUUUUUUGCUGACACAUGUGUAACAUAUUGACCUGAUACGUUACCCGUUCAUUUACCUUGUAAAUAAAGUCUCUUUUUGAGAGUUUCGCCACCA